UAGGAUUUUAACUCAGGCCUCUAACUCAGGGGUUCAUAGCUGGACACCAUGGGGAGCUGGAAGAAGAAUAAGAUGCGGCCGGGCCUCUGGGAGCUUCAUCUCGUCAUGGUGGCAAGCUACCCAACUGAAAUAGACUAUGUCGUGAAGCGUCAUGCCAUGUAGCCGUGACAGUGUGACCAUCACCCAGCACCUUCCGCACGCCUCUACGGUGGUGUCUCUCGGGCUUGCGAUGCAUCAAGGGACUUUCUUCGCUGCCCAUUGCAUGGCUGGGGCUUGAGGAACAACGCUAAAGAUGGAAUGAUAUUGCAUGAACCAAAACAUGAUACAUGAUGAUUAGAGUCUCUCCUCCACUACAUCAGCCCCUGAGGAUGUAGAUAUAUGCUAGAGGAAUCAUUAGAAAAACUGGAAAGAUAAAGAGGGACUACAUCUAACUCUUACUCAACAGCAAAGUAUUGCUUAACGGAACUCACCCACCUUCUCCAAUAAAGAAGGGGACAGAGAGUAGUUAAUGCAAAUUCA